CAGCCGCCGCGGGAAUACGUAGGUGGCAAGCGUUGUCCGGAAUUAUUGGGCGUAAAGGGCUCGCAGGCGGUUUCUUAAGUCUGAUGUGAAAGCCCCCGGCUCAACCGGGGAGGGUCAUUGGAAACUGGGAAACUUGAGUGCAGAAGAGGAGAGUGGAAUUCCACGUGUAGCGGUGAAAUGCGUAGAGAUGUGGAGGAACACCAGUGGCGAAGGCGACUCUCUGGUCUGUAACUGACGCUGAGGAGCGAAAGCGUGGGGAGCGAACAGGAUUAGAUACCCGCGUAGUCCCUGUCUCUUAUAU
rnacentral:rRNA from 1 species